rnacentral:piRNA from 1 species
UCCUUUAUUAAUCGUUAGGCGUGGCC